CCCCAUUCCCCUAGCUACAAUGGCCCACCCAGGGUAGAACAUCUUCUAUAGAAAAGAUUGGGCAAACAUCCAGGAUCCUGGGAGUGUCCAUUGGGCACCUCUGGUCCUCUGUCACGAGGGAGAGGAGCUGAGGUGGGACUCAGCAGCCUAUGACUCUUUACCUGCCUUGUAAAAAAGCUGGUCUUUCCCUAUCUUCCACAUGCCCAGCCAUCUUAUACAAUAGUCAUUGUGCUGCCCCAAAAAUUCUGUGGCUAGGGAAAAUGAAGCUGAACUUCUGGGUUUCCAGUGAUUUUCAUUUCAGCAAGAUAGAUCUCUGAUCUUAGAAUAUGGAACCUUAUUUAUUCUACUUCCCAGCAGAAGGGUUGGCCUCAGGUAUAAGUAAGCUUUUCUCCCUUGUCUGCUGCUAGCCCAGCUGGUGAAAGGCAGUGUCCAGAGUGUAGCUCACACACAGGAGAUCAAGCCUCAGUUGAUUGGGUAUCACAGUAAAGGAUAGCUCUGGCCAAGGUUGGCUCCCCAAUAAAGUUUCUGCCAUGCCUACAUGGAGGUUCUGCUGGAGCUAGGGACCCAAGAAUUACUACCGCCCACCAUUCUCACCACCAUAGGCACAUAUCUCGUGCUAUCCAAUGACUAUGAUCUCCUUGCUGUUCUCCAUCAAGAAUCUUCAUCUUCCAACUCUGGUCAUGUUCUCUGGCUUUCCCCCAUGGCUGGAAUGCUCUCCUGCCUCGUCAGUACCUCCUGGAGCCUUCAGCUUCCAUCAGAUCUCAUCUCAAAUCCCACUGUCUACAGAAAGCCUUUCCUGAUAUGCCUCAGUUCUGGUGCCUUCUCUCUAUUAUCUCCAGAGCAUCCUGUAUAUGGGCUGCUGAGUACCAGCUGGGCAGGAGUCUAGGCCACUCUGCUCCAACUGGACUUAGGGGUUCCCGGCAUCUACCCCUCUUCCCUAGAUCUAGCCCAGGGAUUCUUCACUGUCCAGGAGCUGUACCUGUUCAGAACCAAGGAUUGAUAUGACAGAGCCCAUGAGGCCAGCCAUGGGAGUUCAUACCUGACCACCUGUUCAGCCAAGCUUGGAGAGCAGGAAUCUCAGGAAAUAUCCAUCAGGGGCACCCCUGCUCCCUGCAGCUUCUGCAGCUCCUUCAAGAGGAGGAAGGACCCUGGUCCACUUGGGGAGAAGCAUUUGGUCUUUGGGCUGAGGAGAUAAUCUUGUUCUGUUUGGCCUCAGAGCAAUGAGCUAGGGCCCUAUGAUGGAGCAUCUGGUGGGACUUCAUGAGAGGUCUUCAGGGAAUCCUGUGGCCUUGCAGGAGCUCUGGGGUCCCUGCCCCAGAGCCCAGCGCAGAAUCAGAGGCGUCCUGGAGAGAGUGAAGAGACAGCUCUUCCGGGUGGGUGAAGACUGGUAUUUCUUGGUUGGCCUAGGAGUGCUCAUGGGUCUCAUCAGCUUCACCAUGAACUUUGUUGUUUCCAAAGUCAUCCAUGCGCACAUGUGGCUGUAUCGAGAAAUUGGGGACAACCAUCUUCUCCGCUACCUGUCUUGGACUGUGUAUCCCAUAGCCUUGGUCUCCUUCUCCACUGGCUUUUCCCAGAGUAUCACCCCUUUCUCUGGAGGUUCUGGAAUCUCAGAAAUGAAGGUCAUUUUAUCUGGUGUAGUCCUGGAGGAUUACUUGGACAUCAAGAACUUUGGGGCUAAAGUGGUGGGCCUUGCCUGCACCCUGGCAUCUGGCAGUACCAUCUUUCUUGGCAAAGUGGGCCCCUUCACACAUAUUAGCUGCAUGCUUGCUGCCUAUCUGGGCAAGGUUCGAGUUUCAGCCCUUGGAGAAUAUGAGAACAAGAUCAAGCAGAAUGAGCUGCUGGUGGCUGGAGCAGCAGUGGGUGUGGCCACUGUCUUUGGGGCACCCAUCAGUGGGGUCCUGUUCAGCAUUGAGGUCAUGUCCUCCCACUUUGCUGUCUGGGAUUACUGGAGGGGCUUUUUCUCCUCGGUCUGUGGGGCCUUCAUGUUCCGGCUCUUGGCUGUCUUCAACAGUGAGCAAGAAACCAUCACCCCCCUCUUCAAGACUAGAUUCCGAGUAGAUAUACCCUUUGACCUACCAGAAAUCUUCUUCUUUAUAUUACUUGGGUUUGUCUGUGGGAUUGUGAGCUGUGCCUACCUCUUCGGCCAUCGCAGAUUUGCAUUGUUUGUUCGAAGAAACUGGAUUACCAAAAAACUGCUUGCAACAGACAAGCCUGUGUACUCAGCCCUGGUGGCCCUGCUUCUGGCUUCCAUCACCUACCCACACAGCCUGGGACGAUUCAUGGCCUCCAGGUUGUCUAUGAAUCUGUACCUGGAUUCACUAUUUGACAACCAAUCCUGGGCUCUGCUCUCCCGGAAUUCCUCCCCUGAAUGGCCCGCAGAAGUGGACCCCAACAACUUAUGGUUUGAGUGGUACCAUCCCCAGUUUACCAUCUUUGGCACCCUCGCCUUCUUCCUGGCCAUGAAGUUUUGGAUGUUGAUUCUCGCCACCACAAUACCCAUGCCAGCUGGGUACUUUCUGCCUGUAUUUAUCUAUGGGGCCAGCAUUGGACGAAUUUUUGGUGAGAUUCUAGCUGUCAUCUUCCCAGAGGGCAUCAAGACUGAUGACGGGGUCAUCAAUACCAUCAUCCCUGGUGCAUAUGCCCUGGCAGGAGCUGCUGCCUUCUCAGGAGCAGUGACUCACACUAUCUCCCCAGCCUUGCUAGCCUUUGAAGUGACAGGCCAGUUUGUCCACGUGCUGCCAGUACUGAUGGCUGUGCUGGCAGCCAAUGCUGUGUGUCAGAACUGCCAGCCCUCCUUCUACGAUAAUGGCAUCAUCCUGAAGAAGCUUCCCUACCUGCCCCGGGUCCUAGGCCGCAAACUCAACUCCUACUGGGUAACUGCUGAGCUCUUCAUGAACCCAAACAUCACCACCCUGGCCAAAGAUUCCUCCUUGGACGAGGUGGUCCAAACUGUGACCUCCACUGAAGCUGCUGAAUACCCCCUGGUGGAGAGUGAAGAAUCCCAGCUCUUGGUGGGCAUCAUCCGUAGGGACCAGCUGCUGCCAUUCCUCCAGGCAGAGCCAACCAUCCAGGCAAGCAGGCACCAGUGGCGUCUCCAUGAGGUCCUGGCUGGGGGCUGCCCCGUGGAACCUGUGACCCUGCAGGUGUCACCCCAGACUUCCCUACACCAGAAUGUAAACUCCUUGAAGGCUGGGGCUGAGCUCUUUCAUUUAUAUUUAUAUCUCCAGCACCAAACACAGCACCUACCACUUCCUGAAAGUUUCUUUUGCUGGCCUGGAAACCCUGUUGGGUUGGGAAACAAGGAUCUAGUGGAUUGAGUUUUUCAGAAGAAUCCCUUUAAACCCAAGGACUUCACUCAAGGCAAAAGUGGACAAUCUCAAUUACAUCAGAGCCUUUUAGAGGAGAACCAGAGGUGUGCCUCAGUUUGCUCAUCUGUGAAGUGGGGAUAAUAAUCUCUGCCCUGUUCACCUGCCAGGGACACCUUGGUCCACAACCUCUUUGAACUCUUGAAAAUGCAGAGGAUCUUGGUGACAUCGAUGGGCCGAAUGGUGGGCUUCAUCUCCUGGGUGGAG